rnacentral:lncRNA from 1 species
AUCUAUAUUUUGUAUUAUUGUAUCAAUGUGGAGUGACAGUUCAAUAAAGGUUUCUAAGUCUAACUCGUUCUAGGCAUACGGCUCAGUGAGUCUUAUCAUUGUCUUAUCCUACCGUUCAAAGGAUAGACUAUUUUCGACAUUGUACAACAAAUAGGAUAAGGCGUAGGCUAUGGAUCCCAGCCGAUAUCUUACAGUCAAGAGAAGUCAAAGUAUGUUAUCUGCACUGUACGUAGUGUUUUAAUUCCAUUCCACCGUUGAAAAGUUGUCAGACUAUCACAUUGAAUAGAAUAGAAAGUUGUCAGAGUGUGUGAUAUGUGGGGGAGUAUGUUGAGUGUAAGUACAUUAGACCAUAUGUUUUGUUAGUUUGUUUUGUGCCAAUUCUGUAGACUUUGUUAUCUUUGACAGGAUGUCGCGUGGGUGUAGGCCUACUGUAGCAGUAGCUCUUCUGUACGCACUCUGAGGAAGAGGGGGACAAAUCCACAUGGUGCAAUGGUUACAAGGUGUGUAAUCAUAAGUCCAAAAUGUUUUGCAACGGCAUCCGUUUACUCCAAACGAAAACAAAAAAAGAGAGUUUCUAUUUGAAAAAUUCAGGUAGAUCCCUCCGUUUGGUUCCAUUUGGUUCCUAGUGAAUGUACCCCUGGGAUUCAGGUGUGUAGGCCUAGUCUGCUGUCUUGGUGUUGAGCAGGUGGCUGGAACUUCAGGCAAACAGAGAGAGAGAGGAAGGGUUACGGGUAAGUCACAUUUUUCCAUCUCUACUAGUUUUGAUACUUGGGCCUCUUUGAUGACACAAACUAGGUCGAGGAGAGAAUGGUGUGUAUUGUAAAGAGACGGAUCUACAUAGAUUAAAAUCUCUCUUUAAGAGAUGUCUUCUACACUACCUCCGCAGGUAGACGGUCUUCACACUGACUAGACUUUUCGCAAAAAUACUCUCAGCAGCUCAUUUUGUGACACUCACCCGACAGUUACCCCCCUCUAAGCAGGGCAGUUUAAACAGAAUUGUCUCGUUAAGCCAACACUCCUACAGUAAAAGUUGUAAUAGCAGAGCAAUUUCACAGUUGAAAUCUCCAGACAUUUUUCAUUUUUCUAAAAUCACCAGGGAAUUAUAAAAAUGUUCAGUCACAAUUUGCUUUUUACCUCAUAUCAUGACUUCCAUGAUAUUGAUAAAAUGAAACCUGGUUUGUUUGAAGGUAACUUUAAUGUCUCCUCACCUUGCAAGCUAAAUAUUUUGGCGGCAAUUUUACAAAUUUUGCCAUGGGGCAGAGAAGGAAAUUUGAAGUUGUACAGCUAAUUUUCUGCAAUUCCACACAUUUUUCAAUAGGGUAGAGAGAAAUGUUUUGAGUUUUUAAUAUGAUAUCUGAGUGAGAGUAACAAACAUAAUCAAUGGGGGCCCACCGAUCAGGAAUUACAGGUCAGACGCUAAAUUGUCUGUUCUGGCAAAGGUAUUGGAGUCCCUAGUCAAUAAGCAGCUUAAGGCCUACCUCCAGGAAAACAAUAUUUUGAGUGGUAUGUAAUCAGGUUUCAGGUCUAGAAACAGCAUUGUCACAGCAACUUAGAGAGUUUUGAGUGAUAUUAACUGAAGCUGCAUUGUGUAUUCAUAGACUUGUCAAAGGCAUUUGACACUGUGGACCAUACUGUCUUGGUGCAGAGACUGAAGUUCAUUGUUAUUACUGGUCAUGCUCUCGAGUGAUUUGUGAACUACCUGUCAAAUUGAACCCAGUGUGUUAAAGCAGAUGGUUGUAAGUCGGAGACCAUAGAGUUAUGCUCGGGUGUGCCUCAAGGAUCAAUUUCAGGUCCCAGGUCCCAUGUUGUUUGUUAUCUAGAUCAACAACAUUGGGAGACAAAUGACUAUCGUCUCUUUGCCCUCACCCUGGUCAUCAUGAAGUGUUUGGAGAAGCUGGUCGUGGACCACAUCCAGGCACACUGGACCCAAUUUGCCAACCGCUCAUACAGGUCCAUUGAAAAAUGCAAUUUCCAUCGCUAUUCACACCAAAAACACCUAUGUGAGAAUGUUGUUUAUUGGCUACAGUUCACCAUUCAACACUAUUGUUCCCUCCAAGCUCGACACCAAGCUCAAAUACCACCCUCUGCAACUGGAACCUGGACUUCCUGACGGGCAGACCAAAGGCUGUGAGGAUUGGCAACAACAACAACAUCUCCUCCACACAGGCUCCUCCCUUCAGGGGUGUGUCCUCAGCCCUCUGCUGUACUCCUUGUUCACCCAUGACAGCGUGGCUUUGCAUGACGCCAACUCCAUUAUCAAGUUUGCUGACGACACCACGUUGUACGCCUGAUCACCAACCUCGGCAAGUCAGCCAAUGCAGAGGAGGUGCCUUUUGGCAAACUCCAAGUGGGCUGUCAUGUGCCUUUUACUGAGGAGUGGCUUCCGCCUGGCCACUCUACCAUAAAGGCCUGAUUGGCGGAGUGCUGCAGAGAUGGUUGUCCUUCUGGAAUGUUCUCUCAUCUCCACAGAGGAACUCUGGAGCUCUAACAGAGUGACGAUCGGGUUCUUGCUCACAUCCCCGACCAAUGCCCUUCUCCUCAGAUUGCUCAGUCUGGUCGGGCGGCCAGCACUAGGAAGAGUCUUGAUGGUUCCAAACUAAUCAAAUUUAAGAAUGAUGGAAGCCACUGUGUUCUUGGGAUCUGUGCCUCGACACAAUCCUGUCUUGGAGCUCUACGGACAAUUCCUUCGACCUCAUGGCUUGGUAUUAGCUCUGACAUGCAAUGUCAACUGUGGGAACUUAUAUAGACAGGUGUGUGCCUUUCCAAAUCAUGUCCAAUCAAUUGAAUUUACCACAGGUGGACUCCAAUCAAGUUGUUGAUUGGAGUCAUCUCAAGGAUGAUCAAUGGAAACAGGAUGCACCUGAGCUCAAUUUCGAGUCUCAUAGCAAAGGGUCUGAAUACUUAUGAAAAUAAGGUAUUUCUAUUUUUCAUAUUUUAUAAAUUAGCAAAUAUUUCUAAAAACCUGUUUUCGCUUCGUCGUUAUGGAGUAUUGUGUGUAGAUUGAUGAGGAUUUAUUUUUAUUUAAUACAUUUUAGUAUAAGGCUAUAAACGUAACAAAAUGUGGAAAAUGUCAAGGGGUCUGAAUACCUUCCGAAUCCACCGUACCGUAGUUGUUUCUAGUUGUUACCCGAUGUCACUAGUUUGCGUUGCCUGAUGUAAGGAAGCAUGUUGUUUUAUUUCACACACACCACACACCACACUCAUGCCUGCAUGCACACACACGCACAUUGACUGUAUGUUUGCUGUUGUACUUGUGCUGUUGCCAGCGUCUUCUGUCGUUUUGUUGUACUUGUUUUUUUUUUGGGGGGGGGGGUUCCCCAUCCACACAUGAGGCCUAUUGCCUCUUGCCAGGCUAUCUUUGUAAAUAAAUGUUGUUAAUUGACUUGCCAAGUUAAAUAAAAAUGCAAUUCAACCAUGAUUAAGACAAGUUUAGAUAGCUGGCUAGACUAGCUUACUAAUCUAAAACAUUUUAUCUGACAUUGGCUACUUGAGUUACAGUCAGUGACUGACAUAACAAGAGAAAAACUGCUGAUGCACAAACAAAUUUCAAAAUUGCACCUUGUGUAUUCUCCUAUUCUAACUCUCAAGAGUAAGUUGAGACCUCGACUGAGUUUCUAAAAUAAAAAAAUAAUGAAAAAUACAUUUGUUUCAUUUUCAGAAUUAGAUCUGCAGGCCUACAAAAGUGCCCAUCCCUGCGCUAGUGUAAGCCUAAGUGUACAUAUCUAGCUAGCUAUGGCUCAGCUAAAAGUCAGC